ACGAACGCUGGCGGCGUGCCUAAUACAUGCAAGUCGAGCGGACCGACGGGAGCUUGCUCCCUUAGGUCAGCGGCGGACGGGUGAGUAACACGUGGGUAACCUGCCUGUAAGACUGGGAUAACUCCGGGAAACCGGGGCUAAUACCGGAUGCUUGAUUGAACCGCAUGGUUCAAUCAUAAAAGGUGGCUUUCAGCUACCACUUACAGAUGGACCCGCGGCGCAUUAGCUAGUUGGUGAGGUAACGGCUCACCAAGGCGACGAUGCGUAGCCGACCUGAGAGGGUGAUCGGCCACACUGGGACUGAGACACGGCCCAGACUCCUACGGGAGGCAGCAGUAGGGAAUCUUCCGCAAUGGACGAAAGUCUGACGGAGCAACGCCGCGUGAGUGAUGAAGGUUUUCGGAUCGUAAAACUCUGUUGUUAGGGAAGAACAAGUACCGUUCGAAUAGGGCGGCACCUUGACGGUACCUAACCAGAAAGCCACGGCUAACUACGUGCCAGCAGCCGCGGUAAUACGUAGGUGGCAAGCGUUGUCCGGAAUUAUUGGGCGUAAAGCGCGCGCAGGCGGUUUCUUAAGUCUGAUGUGAAAGCCCCCGGCUCAACCGGGGAGGGUCAUUGGAAACUGGGGAACUUGAGUGCAGAAGAGGAGAGUGGAAUUCCACGUGUAGCGGUGAAAUGCGUAGAGAUGUGGAGGAACACCAGUGGCGAAGGCGACUCUCUGGU
rnacentral:rRNA from 1 species